rnacentral:rRNA from 1 species
GGGGAAUAUUGCACAAUGGGGGAAACCCUGAUGCAGCAACGCCGCGUGAGCGAUGAAGGCCUUCGGGUUGUAAAGCUCUGUCUUCAGGGACGAUAAUGACGGUACCUGAGGAGGAAGCCACGGCUAACUACGUGCCAGCAGCCGCGGUAAUACGUAGGUGGCAAGCGUUGUCCGGAAUUAUUGGGCGUAAAGGAUGCGUAGGUGGUCCUUUAAGUGGGAUGUGAAAUCCCUGGGCUUAACCCAGGAAUUGCAUUCCAAACUGGAGGACUAGAGUGCAGGAGAGGAAAGUGGAAUUCCCAGUGUAGCGGUGAAAUGCGUAGAGAUUGGGAGGAACACCAGUGGCGAAGGCGGCUUUCUGGACUGUAACUGACACUGAGGCAUGAAAGCGUGGGGAGCAAAC